rnacentral:rRNA from 1 species
UAGGGAAUCUUCGGCAAUGGACGGAAGUCUGACCGAGCAACGCCGCGUGAGUGAAGAAGGUUUUCGGAUCGUAAAGCUCUGUUGUUAGAGAAGAACGUUGGUAGGAGUGGAAAAUCUACCAAGUGACGGUAACUAACCAGAAAGGGACGGCUAACUACGUGCCAGCAGCCGCGGUAAUACGUAGGUCCCGAGCGUUGUCCGGAUUGAUUGGGCGUAAAGCGAGCGCAGGCGGUUCUUUAAGUCUGAAGUUAAAGGCAGUGGCUUAACCAUUGUACGCUUUGGAAACAGGAGGACUGGAGUGCAGAAGGGGAGGGUGGAAUUCCAUGUGUAGCGGUGAAAUGCGUAGAUAUAUGGAGGAACACCGGUGGCGAAAGCGGCUCUCUGGUCUGUAAAUGACGCUGAGGCUCGAAAGCGUGGGGAGCAAACAGG